CACAUCUUUUUAAGCUAUAAUUUCAAAAGUUUUGUUUUUUGUUUUGUUUUGUUUGUUUUUUUGGUAUGGUUUGUGUGUGUAUGUGUGUGUGUUUAAGGGUUUAAGUGUGUAAUACUAUUUCCCUAUGUUUCAUUGGUCCCUUUCUUUUUAUUUAGGUGAACUGAGAAAAGUGGCUUCAUUAAGACAAUGAAAGGCAUUGUGGAUUAAAGAUUCAUACCUAUUCUAUGAAUGAUCAAUGAAAGGUUGGCUACAGUUCACUUAUGGGAGAUUUGAGGUUUUGAUUACUGAACAUUGGUCAUCAAUUCUGGUGUUUAUCCAAAUGACCCAUCGACCUCUUUCGAAAAUCUCUAUGUCUGGCCAUUCUCCUGAGAUGAACUUAAGAAAAGCCUGCACACCAUCAGAGGCUGAGAAGUCCCAAGAUCUGCAGACAGCAAGUGGAAGACCCAGAUAUAGUGGUAUACAGUAAUGGUACAAGACCCAAGAAGAACUGAGUUUUCAUUUUGUUUGAAGGCAAAAGAAGACCAAAAUCCCACCUCAAGUAGUCAGAAAGGUAGAGUACCUUCUUAAU
rnacentral:lncRNA from 1 species